rnacentral:lncRNA from 1 species
CAUUACUCUUCUCACUGUAGCAAUUAGUUUGUGUUUGCUCAGUAUAGGAUCCUAUUGCCAUAGUCUUGCAAGUUUCAGUCGCACAGAUUCUGACAGCAGCAUCCUAAAUUAACUGUUUCUGAUCAUCUUAUGCAGACUACAAACCUGUGAAUGUUGAGGAUGAUGUUGAAGCAGUGAUUAUUGACAAUUCUGAAAUACAAGAUGGAGAAAAUGGUCUGUCCACACGAAGCUGCAUGUCAAUGGAACAAAAUUUUGAAGUAAACAGUAAUGUUCACCAUGUGGCUCAACUUACAUAUGGUAAUUGCGCUUCAUUUUCGUUGGUGAUCUAAUAGUUUGUAGCUAAUUUUAAUGCUGUAUUUUCAGUGCUUUUGUUGUUAUUGUGUCUUUGUUGAGUAACCCAUCUUUAAAACGUGUUUUAUUUGAAAGCUGCUUCAUAAAAAUUGUUUGGCAAUGCAUUUAAAAAUAAGAGGCCUUUAAAGUUAUUACUUCAGAGAUCCUUAUUAACAGCUAUCCCACUGAAAUAUUUCUCUGUUUAAAGAAAGACUUUCUGCUGUGUACCAAGGAAUGAAUUAGCUAAUGAUUAGCACUUAGGGAUUUGGAAAGCAAGUGACAGGGAAAAACGUAAUGUAGAAUAUGAGGCUUCUAGGUUAACAGUCAAGAGAAGCAUUGCUGAUACUUAUGUACAGUGGUAGUGAGAUGAUUAUUCAGAGUGGUAAAAUACUAGCUCUGAGUAGCCUUUGAUUUUUUUUUUUAAUUAAUUGUUGUUAUUUUAGCAUCUAAAA